rnacentral:rRNA from 1 species
UACAGAGGGGGCAAGCGUUGUUCGGAAUUACUGGGCGUAAAGGGCGCGUAGGUGGCCUUCUAAGUUGAACGUGAAAUCCCUGGGCUCAACCCAGGAACUGCGUCCAAGACUGGGAGGCUUGAAUCCGGGAGAGGGAUGCGGAAUUCCAGGUGUAGCGGUGAAAUGCGUAGAUAUCUGGAGGAACACCGGUGGCGAAGGCGGCUCUCUGGAACGGUACUGACGCUGAGACGCGAAAGCGUGGGGAGCAAACAGG